rnacentral:rRNA from 1 species
AUUGAACGCUGGCGGCAGGCCUAACACAUGCAAGUCGAGCGGAGCGGCGGACGGGUGAGUAAUGCCUAGGAAUCUGCCUGGUCGCGGGGGCUAACGUCCGGAAACGGGCGCUAAUACCGCAUCCCAUCAGAUGAGCCUAGGUCGGAUUAUCCAGUUGGUGGGGUAAAGGCUUACCAAGGCGACGAUCCGUAACUGGAUGGAGAGGAUGAUCAGUCACACUGGAACUGGGAAACGGUCCAGACUCCAACGGGAGGCAGCAGUGGGGAAUAUUGGACAAUGGGCGAAGGCCGGAUCAGUACAGGCCGCGUGUGUGAAGAAGGUCUUGGGAUGGUAAAGCACGUUAAGUUGGGAGGCGGUAACAACAGAAAAAGCACCGGCUAACUUCGUGCCAGCAGCCGCGGUAAUAC